rnacentral:tRNA from 1 species
GGGGCUGUGGCUCAGUGGCAGAGCGCUCGCCUUGCACGUGCGAGGCACUGAGUUCGAUCCUCAGCACCA